UUCUAUUCGAAUCGACGACUUAAAAGGACUUAGUUGGUUAUAGAAUGCAAAGAAUAGCAGUCAGUCAGUAGUUUAGA